rnacentral:rRNA from 1 species
GGGCUUGACAUCCCACGAACCCCGCGGAAACGCGGGGGUGCCCGCAAGGGAGCGCGGAGACAGGUGGUGCAUGGCUGUCGUCAGCUCGUGUCGUGAGAUGUUGGGUUAAGUCCCGCAACGAGCGCAACCCUCACCCCUUGUUGCUACCAGGUCAUGCUGGGCACUCUAGGGGAACUGCCCCGGUCAACGGGGAGGAAGGCGGGGAUGACGUCAAGUCAUCAUGCCCCUUACGCCCUGGGCAACACACGUGCUACAAUGGCCGGUACAAAGGGAUGCGAGACCGCGAGGUGGAGCCAAACCCAAAAAGCCGGUCUAAGUUCAGAUUGGAGUCUGCAACUCGACUCCAUGAAGGAGGAAUCGCUAGUAAUCGCCCAUCAGCACGGGGCGGUGAAUACGUUCCCGGGCCUUGUACACACCGCCCGUCACACCACGAAAGUCAGUUGUACUCGAAGUCGCUGAG